GUUGUCAUGGGGGAGGUGGUGGCGCCUGGUGGCCACUGGCGGCCGAAGGUAGAGGCAGUGGCGCUGGAGUUGGUCGGGGGCAGCGGCAGAUUUGGAGCUUAAGCAGCUUCUUCCAGGGAAGAGUGCCUGCUGCUGUUGCAACCCAAGAUCUUGAUUCAUAUCCAUAGAUUGCAAUAUUGGUGGGCCAGCAGUCCUCAGACACCUCACUUAGGACAGAGACAGGAUCUCGCUGAGGCUGGUCUUGAA